UAGACAGCACCAUUUGGAGAACAGAAUAUUUAACUUAUGGGAAGCAUAACAGAUGCACAUAUGGGUGUAUAAUAGACAGAUACACAUAUGGGUGGGACGGGACUCUGAACAACGUGCUCUGAUGGAGGGUUUCCUGCCCAUGGCAGGGUGUUGGAACUGGACGAUCUUCAAGGUCCCUUCCAACCCAAGACUUUCUGUGAUUCUAUCAUAUUUGGCUGUAGUUCAUUGCAACAAAGUAGGUAAUUAGAUAUAUACAGCAUGAAAUGUAGCCACUCUACUACUAGCACUUUUACUACAGCCCACAUAUCACAUUGCUGUUCUGUUAGCUGAAGACAUUUUUGCCUUAUUUACUUGUCUUUCACUCAGUCUUUUCCUUCACUGUCUUGGGAAUGCUUCAUGUCCCAUAAACAUUUUAUUUUUGUUUUGUGUCCAGAAGUGCUACUGUCUCCUCCCUUCCAGCUCAGGAAUAUGGGUGAAGGGUGGCCCAGAAUCCUGCGGAGGUUGGAAGACAAUGGCUGUCUUUCCUUCUGGUGGGGUGAUCAACAGAGCUGCCAUGAGGCAUGGCACUGUGACCAGGGCCUGCCAGCUUGUUUCUCUGCUCCUCUGCCACUUGGGAGCCCGGAGCCUGAGUGUGCUGUGUCAAGGCUAAGAGCCAGGAGCACUCCCUGCUGGGCUGUUCCCUCUGUAUGGCAGCCCAACCUCAGGACCAGCUGUCAUGGGAUCCCACUGCUCCUGCCACUGCUUUGGGGUUAGUGCUACACUUUGAUUUGCCGCCCCUGGGAGUCUGCUCAUCUUUGCUGCUCCAGCAUGCUGCUCUGAAAGCACUGCUACAGACCAGCUCACCACGCGGAGUGGCACUGAGACCAGCUGCUCCCCACGAGUUUUGGAAAGGAGCCACCUCCUCUCUUUCCCUGUCGCCUGAACCGCCAUUGCCAGAGGUGAGGCUGCUGAGCUCGCGCCACAGUGCCCCCUGCCGGCGC